rnacentral:rRNA from 1 species
CGGACGGGUGAGUAACACGUGGAUAACCUACCUAUAAGACUGGGAUAACUUCGGGAAACCGGAGCUAAUACCGGAUAAUAUAUUGAACCGCAUGGUUCAAUAGUGAAAGACGGUUUUGCUGUCACUUAUAGAUGGAUCCGCGCCGCAUUAGCUAGUUGGUAAGGUAACGGCUUACCAAGGCGACGAUGCGUAGCCGAACUGAGAUGGUGAUCGGCCACACUGGAACUGAGACACGGUCCAG